rnacentral:rRNA from 1 species
AACCCGCCUGCAUGAAGUCGGAAUUGCUAGUAAUCGCGGAUCAGCAUGCCGCGGUGAAUACGUUCCCGGGCCUUGUACACACCGCCCGUCACACCAUGGGAGCCGGUAAUACCCGAAGUCAGUAGUCCAACCUCGUGAGGACGCUGCCGAAGGUAGGAUUGGCGACUGGGGUGAAGUCGUAACAAGGUACC